rnacentral:rRNA from 1 species
UGAGGAAUAUUGGUCAAUGGUCGGGGAGACUGAACCAGCCAAGCCGCGUGAGGGAUGAAGGUGCUAAGCAUUGUAAACCUCUUUUGUCAGGGAACAAAAGGCAUCCACGAGUGGAUGUGUGAGUGUACCUGAAGAAAAAGCAUCGGCUAACUCCGUGCC